rnacentral:rRNA from 1 species
AGUACAACGGAGGCGCCUGGGCUGUUGCUGACCUCAAGGUCGUGCACGCCCGGAGCGCUCUCUCACAUCCAUCUCACCCCUUUGUGCAUCAUCGCGUGGGGCCCUCUCCUUUGGCUUGUUCCGGAAGGGGGGGGGGGGUUCACGUUUUUACACGAACAACCCAUUAAUGCAUGUGUAGAAUGUCUUACUUUUUGCGGUCACACGCAAUCAAUACAACUUUCAACAACGGAUCUCUUGGCUCUCGCAUCGAUGAAGAACGCAGCGAAAUGCGAUACGUAAUGUGAAUUGCAGAAUUCAGUGAAUCAUCGAAUCUUUGAACGCACCUUGCGCCCCUUGGUAUUCCGAGGGGUGCACCCGUUUGAGUGUCGUGAACACCCUCAACCUUCUUGGUUUAUCGACCGGGAAGGCUUGGACUUUGGAGGUUUUUGUUGCUGGCCUCGUUUGAAGCCAGCUCCUCCUAAACGAAUUAGUGGGGUCCGCCGUGCCGACCCUCGACGUGAUAAGUACGCUUCUACGUCUUGGGGUUUCGCACUGUCGCCUGCUUNCCACCGUCUUCGAAUGAAGACAAUCUUAUAGACCUUGACCUCAAAUCGGGUG